UACGUAGGGGGCGAGCGUUGUCCGGAUUUAUUGGGCGUAAAGCGCUCGCAGGUGGUCCGUCGCGUCGUGCGUGAAAGACCCCGGCUCAACUGGGGAGGGUCGUGCGAUACGGGCGGACUGGAGGCCAGUAGGGGGAUGCGGAAUUCCGGGUGUAGUGGUGGAAUGCGUAGAGAUCCGGAGGAACACCAGCGGCGAAGGCGGCAUCCUGGACUGGUCCUGACACUCAGGAGCGAAAGCGUGGGGAGCGAUCCGG
rnacentral:rRNA from 1 species